ACAUUGAAACACCAGAUUCCCGUACGAUCACCGAAGUUAAGCAAUGUCGAAUCUGGUCAAUACCUAGAUGGGUGACCACUUGGAAAUAUGUGCUG